GUCGAUGGAGAGGUCGACGAUGGGAUGGGUGUCGAGAUCGGAGAGGGGGAUGCCGACGGCGGCGGCGUGGGCCUCGGUCUUCUUGGAGGUAGGGAUGCCGACGAUGUCGGAGAGGACGCCGCGGCGGAGGAGAUCGCCGAUGCGGUCGAGGGCGUGGGCAGCGGUGGAGCCGGUUCCGAGGCCGAGGACCAUGCCGGACUGCACGAGGUCGACGGCUCGGUGGGCGGCGAUGCGUUUGAGGUCGUCUUGGGUUGGGGCGACGGCGACG
rnacentral:misc_RNA from 1 species